rnacentral:rRNA from 1 species
UACGUAGGGGGCUAGCGUUGUCCGGAAUCAUUGGGCGUAAAGCGCGUGUAGGCGGUCCGGUAAGUCCGCUGUGAAAGUCGGGGGCUCAACCCUCGGAUGCCGGUGGAUACUGUCGGGCUUGAGUACGGAAGAGACGAGUGGAAUUCCUGGUGUAGCGGUGAAAUGCGCAGAUAUCAGGAGGAACACCAAUUGCGAAGGCAGCUCGCUGGGACGUUACUGACGCUGAGACGCGAAAGCGUGGGGAGCAAACAGG